UGAGGAAGUAAAAGUCGUAACAAGGUUUCCGUAGGUGAACCUGCGGAAGGAUCAUUAUCGAAUUACAGAGGGUUGAUGCUGGCAGUCUAACUGCAUGUGCUCAUUCUCCUAAUCCAUUUACACUUUGUGCACAUUGCUUUUGAAGGGAGGGUAGAACCUGCCUUCGAAAUUUACAAGCUCUUAUCUGUGAUUAUGAAUGUUUGACUGCCGCAAGGCAAAAAUUUAAUACAACUUUUAACAACGGAUCUCUUGGCUCUCGCAUCGAUGAAGAACGCAGCGAAAUGCGAUAAGUAAUGUGAAUUGCAGAAUUCAGUGAAUCAUCGAAUCUUUGAACGCACCUUGCGCUCCCUGGUAUUCCGGGGAGCACGCCUGUUCGAGUGUCAUGAAACUCUCAAGCAAGAUAGAUUUGUUUCUGUCUUUGUUUGGAUUUGGACUUUGCUGUGUUCCCAUGCAGCUGGUCUUAAAUGUAUUAGCUGGUCCUGAUGAAGGUUUGGUUCUACUCGGCGUGAUAAUUAUCUAACGUUGAGGACAGUCUCUGGGACUGGCCAGGCUCUCUUUGGAUUGCUUCUAAUCAUCUUAGGAUAAUUGCUUAAUAUCUGACCUCGAAUCAGGUGGGACUACCCGCUGAACUUAAGCAUAUCAA
rnacentral:rRNA from 1 species